rnacentral:rRNA from 1 species
GACGAACGCUGGCGGCGUGCUUAACACAUGCAAGUCGAACGGUAAGGCCCUUCGGGGUACAUGAGUGGCGAACGGGUGAGUAACACGUGGGUGAUCUGCCCUGCACUUCGGGAUAAGCCUGGGAAACUGGGUCUAAUACCGGAUAGGACUCCUGCCUGCAUGGGUGGGGGUGGAAAGCUUUUGCGGUGUGGGAUGGGCCCGCGGCCUAUCAGCUUGUUGGUGGGGUGAUGGCCUACCAAGGCGACGACGGGUAGCCGGCCUGAGAGGGUGACCGGCCACACUGGGACUGAGAUACGGCCCAGACUCCUACGGGAGGCAGCAGUGGGGAAUAUUGAACAAUGGGCGCAAGCCUGAUGCAGCGACGCCGCGUGAGGGAUGACGGCCUUCGGGUUGUAAACCUCUUUCAGCACAGACGAAGCGCAAGUGACGGUAUGUGCAGAAGAAGGACCGGCCAACUACGUGCCAGCCGCCGCAGUAA